rfam:TPA: Bos taurus chromosome 11, whole genome shotgun sequence.
UCCCUGGUAGUCCAGUGGCUAAGACUCCACGCUCCAAAUGCAGGGGGCCUGGGUUCAAUUCCUGGUCAGGGAA